rnacentral:rRNA from 1 species
GACGAACGCUGGCGGCGUGCCUAAUACAUGCAAGUCGAACGAGAGCGACCGGUGCUUGCACUGGUCAAUCUAGUGGCGAACGGGUGAGUAACACGUGGGUAACCUGCCCAUCAGAGGGGGAUAACAUCCGGAAACGGAUGCUAAAACCGCAUAGGUCUUCGAACCGCAUGGUUUGAAGAGGAAAAGAGGCGCAAGCUUCUGCUGAUGGAUGGACCCGCGGUGCAUUAGCUAGUUGGUGAGGUAACGGCUCACCAAGGCCGUGAUGCAUAGCCGACCUGAGAGGGUGAUCGGCCACAUUGGGACUGAGACACGGCCCAAACUCCUACGGGAGGCAGCAGUAGGGAAUCUUCCGCAAUGGACGCAAGUCUGACGGAGCAACGCCCGCGUGAGUGAAGAAGGUUUUCGGAUCGUAAAAACUUCUGUU